AAUAAUUCAUCCGAUUUGACUUACC
rnacentral:siRNA from 1 species